rnacentral:rRNA from 1 species
CACCGCGGUUAUACGAAAGACCCAAGCUGACAGAGACCGGCGUAAAGAGUGGUUAGGAAAAUGAUAUACUAAAGCUGAACAUCUUCUUAGCUGUUUAACGCAUUUGAAGAUAAGAAUCACUAUCACGAAAGUAGCUUUAAACACCUGACUCCACGAAAGCUAUGAAA